CAGGUGGUGCAUGGUUGUCGUCAGCUCGUGUCGUGAGAUGUUGGGUUAAGUCCCGCAACGAGCGCAACCCUCGUUCUAUGUUGCCAGCGCGUUAUGGCGGGGACUCAUAGGAGACUGCCGGGGUCAACUCGGAGGAAGGUGGGGACGACGUCAAAUCAUCAUGCCCCUUAUGUCUUGGGCUUCACGCAUGCUACAAUGGCCGGUACAAAGGGUUGCGAUACUGUGAGGUGGAGCUAAUCCCAAAAAGCCGGUCUCAGUUCGGAUUGAGGUCUGCAACUCGACCUCAUGAAGUCGGAGUCGCUAGUAAUCGCAGAUCAGCAACGCUGCGGUGAAUACGUUCCCGGGCCUUGUACACACCGCCCGUCAAGUCACGAAAGUUGGUAACACCCGAAGCCGGUGGCCUAACCCCUUGUGGGAGGGAGCCGUCGAAGGUGGACCGGCGAUUGGACU
rnacentral:rRNA from 1 species